rnacentral:rRNA from 1 species
UACGGAAGGCAGCAGUGGGGAAUAUUGCACAAUGGGCGAAAGCCUGAUGCAGCUAUGCCGCGUGUAUGAAGAAGGCCUUAGGGUUGUAAAGUACUUUCAUCGGGGAGGAAAAACAAAACUAAUAAUUUUAUUUCUUGACGUUACCCGAAAAAGAAGCACCGGCUAACUCCGUGCCAGCAGCCGCGGUAAUACGGAGGGUGCUAGCGUUAAUCAGAAUUACUGGGCGUAAAGAGCACGUAGGUGGUUUUUUAAGUCAGAUGUGAAAUCCCUGGGCUUAACCUAGGAACUGCAUUUUGAAACUGAAAUACUAGAGUAUCGUAGAGGGAGGUAGAAUUCUAGGUGUAGCGGUGAAAUGCGUAGAUAUCUGGAGGAAUACCUGUGGCGAAAGCGGCCUCCUAAACGAAUACUGACACUGAGGUGCGAAAGCGUGGGGAGCAAACAGGGAUUAGAUACC